ACGCCAAUCCAACGGGCGCACGAAAACUCGAUCCGUCGCUCCCAACACGUUCGCAAGCUCGAUCUCCACCAACGCCGCGAAUUUGGGCGAAAGAUCUAGAGAGAUGAGAGAGAUAUUUAGAGAGAGAAAGAGAGGGUUUCUCUCACUACACCAUGAACGUGCUCUUGUGGGGGUGGUGCUUGGCUGUGAAGAAGAAGCCAAGUCACUAGAAGCUUCUACUUAUAGUCAACCCUCAAUAGUAGCAUACACUAUUCACAUCAGGCAGCUCCAAAUCCGAUAUCUUUCGCCGGAACUCCCUGAAUAUCCGUUUGAGCUCAAAUUUGACAGUCAUAUUCGGUUUUGCUUAACUUAACGAAAGAAAUUUUAAUCUUUCAGUUUCGACCCCGUUUGGUCACCGAAAGCUGUACCGAACUGUAAUCAUUAUCAGAUGAAUUUCGGAUUUUAGUUUUCACUCUACGGGUGUCAGAAAAAUAUGAAACUUUAAAUCUAGCCUCAUUAAAAUAUUUCUGGCAUCCCCGCCAGUUUUCAUAAUUUUCUGAGACUGUACAUUUUCUGCUAAUUUAUCUGCCCCGUUUCUCACAGAAAAUCUAAAUCUUCUGUUUUCGCUCUGAUUUCAACACGGGUCAUUCCAGACUUAUAUUUCACUUCUCUAAAUCUAAUAAAAAUAGUAUCUCAUACUAUUUUUAUUUAUUUUCCUUUUUAUAUUAAAAUCCGCAUAUUACAUCCCACCGUAACUUCAUAAUUUUAGAAGUUCGGUAUCCUACAGUAACCCACGCUAUCGCAUCCCCGCUCUAAUAGAUAAAAUCCCAAAUCAUGCGAAAGUAAGGAAGUGUCC
rnacentral:lncRNA from 1 species